GGUCUAAUAGUGUAGUGGUUAUCACAGUGGAUUUUGAUCUUGCAAGACUACGCAGGUUGCCUUCCAUUAACCCAGGUUCGAAUCCUGGUUAGACCU